UUGGCCCUAUUUCUUGCGAAGUCUCAAGUUCCACUUGGGAUAGACCCCCACAGAGGGGCUAGCAGAAAUGGGGCUUA
rnacentral:sRNA from 12 species